rnacentral:rRNA from 1 species
GUAUAGCUUGCUAUACGACCUAGCGGCGGACGGGUGAGUAAUGCUUAGGAAUCUGCCUAUUAGUGGGGGACAACAUUCCGAAAGGAAUGCUAAUACCGCAUACGCCCUACGGGGGAAAGCAGGGAUCUUCGGACCUUGCGCUAAUAGAUGAGCCUAAGUCAGAUUAGCUAGUUGGUGGGGUAAAGGCCUACCAAGGCGACGAUCUGUAGCGGGUCUGAGAGGAUGAUCCGCCACACUGGGACUGAGACACGGCCCAGACUCCUACGGGAGGCAGCAGUGGGGAAUAUUGGACAAUGGGCGCAAGCCUGAUCCAGCCAUGCCGCGUGUGUGAAGAAGGCCUUUUGGUUGUAAAGCACUUUAAGCGAGGAGGAGGCUACUUGGAUUAAUACUCUAGGAUAGUGGACGUUACUCGCAGAAUAAGCACCGGCUAACUCUGUGCCAGCAGCCGCGGUAAUACAGAGGGUGCGAGCGUUAAUCGGAUUUACUGGGCGUAAAGCGUGCGUAGGCGGCUUUUUAAGUCGGAUGUGAAAUCCCUGAGCUUAACUUAGGAAUUGCAUUCGAUACUGGGAAGCUAGAGUAUGGGAGAGGAUGGUAGAAUUCCAGGUGUAGCAGGUGAAAUGCGUAGAGAUCUGGAGGAAUACCGAUGGCGAAGGCAGCCAUCUGGCCUAAUACUGACGCUGAGGUACGAAAGCAUGGGGAGCAAACAGGAUUAGAUACCCUGGUAGUCCAUGCCGUAAACGAUGUCUACUAGCCGUUGGGGCCUUUGAGGCUUUAGUGGC